rnacentral:lncRNA from 1 species
UUGCUUUAUUUAUUUUCUUUUAUUAUUUUUAACUUAUUUAUUUCCCAUUUCAUUUUAAUUUUCCCCCUUUUAUUUUUAUUUUACUUAAAAUCUUUCCAACACAAACCCUUGUUAUUUUUUCAUCUUUUAUUUUAUUAAGCUUUGUUUCAUUUUAUUUGGAUUUUGUUAUUGACUUAUGAUGUCUUGAACAUUGAUAGCU